rnacentral:lncRNA from 10 species
UUCUAAGUCUCUACACACAGAGCCCUUCUUUGAUGGGAAAGUCUUGACAUAUACCAGGAUUCUCACUGACCUUUCAGAGUCUUCAAGAAUCCUGAGCUGCUUUGGCUUCUGUUCCUGGAAGAGAGGCCACUGAACUGCUCUGGAGCUGGAGUUCAAGUUCAAAUAUUCAUCACUGUUACUAAGCCUUUACAUAGCAUGUGAUUUCUUUCCGGCAGGCUCAUGGUCACUUAGGUUUGCUUGUAUGUAGAUGGAGGGUCUGCAUCCUCAUUCAGGUAACACCCUCAGUCUUUCACGCUGAGAUUGGCCAUUUUAUUUGUAACUCACUGUACAAUCCAUUUGCUCUUCCAGUAUCCCUUAGAAGGAUGCAGAGUGUUCUGUAGAAUGCCAUAGAGACCUGAGUUUAGGCAAAAUAUUUGACCAAAAGUCCACCAACUCACAUGAGUAUCUCCCCACAACUUGUACAGUGCUAGUCUCUGGGUAUAUAGUAAAUGAAACCGUGCCUGAGCAGAUGAUAACUAACACCCUCCCCUGAGAUACUCCAAGGUUGCUUUAUUCAAGCAAAACAGUGAGUUGUAAUUCUCACAGUAGUCCUACAGGAUAGCUGCUGUUACUGCUUAU